GCACCGUUGGUGUAGCGGUAACACACAAUCUAAGUUUACUGUGUAAAGAGAACGGAUAAAUUGAGGCUGAGUCCUGGGUUCGACUCCCAGGCGGCGCA